CAGUAGCCACGGUAAUACGAGGGGGGCAAGCGUUGUUCGGAAUUAUUGGGCGUAAAGGGCGCGUAGGCGGUUUGGCAAGUUUGGUGUGAAAUCUUCGGGCUCAACUCGAAGUCUGCAUCGAAAACUGCCGGGCUUGAGUAUGGGAGAGGUGAGUGGAAUUUCCGGUGUAGCGGUGAAAUGCGUAGAUAUCGGAAGGAACACCUGUAGCGAAAGCGGCUCACUGGACCAUAACUGACGCUGAGGCGCGAAAGCUAGGGGAGCAAACAGGAUUAGAUACCCGCGUAGUCCCUGUCUCUUAUAA
rnacentral:rRNA from 1 species